rnacentral:rRNA from 1 species
CUACGGGUCUCUGCAGUGGGGAAUAUUGGACAAUGGGCGAAAGCCUGAUCCAGCCAUGCCGCGUGUGUGAAGAAGGCCUUCGGGUUGUAAAGCACUUUCAGUGGGGAAGAAAGCCUUGGGGCUAAUACCCUCGAGGAAGGACAUCACCCACAGAAGAAGCACCGGCUAACUCCGUGCCAGCAGCCGCGGUAAUACGGAGGGUGCGAGCGUUAAUCGGAAUUACUGGGCGUAAAGCGCGCGUAGGCGGUCUGAUAAGCCGGUUGUGAAAGCCCCGGGCUCAACCUGGGAACGGCAUCCGGAACUGUCAGGCUAGAGUGCAGGAGAGGAAGGUAGAAUUCCCGGUGUAGCGGUGAAAUGCGUAGAGAUCGGGAGGAAUACCAGUGGCGAAGGCGGCCUUCUGGACUGACACUGACGCUGAGGUGCGAAAGCGUGGGUAGCAAACAGGAUUAGAUACCCCAGUAGUC